CGCGGAAGACAUUUUAGCGGAAGACGUUGUGUUCCCUGCUAGCCUUUGCCUCCUUGAGGUCGGCCAAAUCGCUGUCCCCUGAGUGCUUCCACAGGGGUGACAAGUCUCCACAGCCUCUUGGCUUCGCUGAGCAUUGCUCUUGGCUUCGCUGAGCACUGCAAAGCAUGCUGAUUUUUCCUCCCGGAAUCCGCGCAGUGGGUAGCAACAAUCUGCAUACUGAGAACAGCUUGGCGAGGCUGAGUAAAGUCCCAAAAUGGAGGUCUGUAGCAUCAAAUCCGAUCGUCAAUCUACAUCUACAGCAUGCAUAAAAAUCCAAAUGGCUAGGUGCUCCCGUGUGGGGCCCGAUUCUAAGGCCUGGGCUGUGGUUGCCAAGAGCACAGGCACAUGGGAACCCCUUGAGAGCAUUUGCGACCAGGGCUUUGGAAGGUGGGGGAGACUUUGAAGUUUUAAAGAAUGUUCCCCAGGGAUACACCUAAAUCCAAACAAAACACACAAUGAUAAACCCAGCGAGCUUUAGAAAAUGCAGGAGCCACGUGAGGCGGUGUUCCUAAUGCAGAUAUUUUGACUCACAAUUGAAGUUACAACCUUAUAAACCAUUUAAAACCAUCUUAAGGACUGGCGAGACGGCUCAGUGGAUAAAUGUCCUUGUUGCUAACCCUGGACGUCCUGAGUUCAAUUCCUGGGUCUAACAGGGUGGAAGAUGAGAACUGACCCUCGAAAACUGUCCUCCGGCCUGUGGGUCCACAUGUACGCCGCGGCUCACGUAUGAGCACAAAUGUGUUCACAACAAAUAGCUGCACAGGGACAGAGGACCUGGAAGUCAUCUGAUUGGCCGAACAUUCCUGCCACCCCACCCAACUCCCAGCAGUAAGCAAAGCCAGAAAUGAGAAUCACGCCCUUAUUAACCUACCUUGUCUCUGCUCCUUAAAAACCUACACAGGUCUUCCUGCCUCAGAGACUUUGAAUUUAGGGUGGUGGGGGCUCGGAAUGCUGUUUCCCGGGUAGUCUGUGGGGAAACCCAUCCCAUCAGAGAUCUUUCAGUCAGUGUGUCAUCUCUCUGGAAGAACUCCUGUUACCAUCUUUGGCUCAGCCUCUCCAAGGCCCCCAACGCAGCCUCUUGUUUGUCACCCACAACAGCACAUCACUAACCGUAAGAACUUUGU
rnacentral:lncRNA from 1 species